UCCUGUGUUACUGUGGAGCUUAUUUCAUCACUCAACUCUGUUGGUAUUAAGUGGUGAAUAAAGUAGACAAGAUACUAAUCCUUAUGGAGCUCUGUGUCUAGUGAACAUGAAAAAGAUAUAUGAAUGAAACAUGGUUAAGGAAAGACAUGGUUAGAGGAGAAUUGAAGGAAAGAUAGAAACCCAUGCUGCCAGGAGGAGUUGGGAUCUUUUCUGUUGUGUCUCAGAACUUCAGGGUUAAGACCCUUCCUGGGUGAUGGAUAAAGGAAGUCAUUGUCCAGAUGAAAGACUCAUGAACUUGGAGACAGGAAUGAAGCCAUUGAAGCAACUUGGACGUCGGGAAUUCACUGAAGACCAGACUAAAGAGGGGCUUGUUCUAAUAGAAAUUCAUCUAAAAAGUUGGAGAUUCUGUAGAAGAUCUGAUGAAGAGGGCCAAUCACUGAGGAAAAAUGGAUAGCAUCCUAAAACAGUGGGUAGUAAGG
rnacentral:lncRNA from 1 species